GGACACUCAGAAUCUCAGCCUGGAGGAGGUGAAGGAAAAAAGAAAAAGAAAACAGAUGCAGAGUAUGUCAAGGUCAAAUAUUACACUAGAAAUGUGCGUGAACAUGGAGCCAUUAGCAGUAUUGUGGGACAUGUCCGCUGGGACUCGAACUGAAUGGCUUCAGCCAGGAAAGCUGCUAAACUCCGGUAAACAGUGGAACAGACUCUGUCAGUGCUGCUGAGCAUGCAUCAAUACUGACAGUAACACACACCGCCUGCAAACCCACAUAAAGAUGCUACAUUUUACACUUACAGUAUAUCAAAUUUGCUUUAGAUAAACUGAGAAAGGCGGGGGAGAGAUGAAGGGAAAAAGAGAUGGUCAUCUUUACACCCCCCCUCUCUCAUGACAAUAAACAAGUUUGACAAAUG